UAACUGGCCUCACCACUCUGUUAUUCUCUUUAUACUGGAAUAUUGCUUUAAUGAGAUUUGGUUUAGAUUUGGAAUGUGUAGGUGAUCUAACAUGUCUUAUUCACAUGCUUUAGGCAUAUGGUUUCUUUGAACAUACACUAAGAAAUAUGUAACUCAAAGAAAGGAUGCAAUAUAAUUUUAUAUGUAACUCUCAGGAAAGAAAAUAAUCCCUAGCCUAUUUUUUCAGUACUAAGAGAAGCAGGUGCCACCCUUGCCUCAACUUUAUGUUUAACAACUGCACAAGUACAUCUUUCUUUAUUAUUUAAUAUUUAUAGCCUCUUUCUAGGCUUUGUAAAAGCAUCCCAGAAAGAUGUACAUUGUAUCUAUUCCACUCUUCUUGAUUUUAUUACAGAUAUUUAUAAUCUAGUCAUAUUACCCAUUAACAGGCACAUAUUUUGUUUAAAGCAUGUUAAUGGAGGAUAAUUUCUAGCAGCCUGGUCAAUCUAUUAGAACUCUUCUUAAAGACCAGAGGAGUUUCAAACUUGAAAAUAUUAUCAUCAACCAGGUAGGUCUGGGUCAAUCAGAAGGCAAAUCAAACACUGAGGUUAAGAUGAUCAAAUAAUUUGUACCACUUUAAAAGUACUAAUUUAAAGUAGCGUUAAAAAAAGGAUCAGGGCUUUUUAAUUCUUUUCAAUAGUAACUUCAGCAUGUUAAGUCCUUCAAAGCCCUUAGUAAAAUCAAAUAUAAUCUAGUUUGUGGUUUCCAAUCUUUUGAGGUGAGGUUACUUUAUAUUUCCCGGAAUAGCUACCAUUCCCUGAAUACCACAUUUAACAGGCCUUUCAUAUGUCUGCAUUAUCUCACAUCCUUAUAACACCCUUAUGACAUAGGAAUUUUUUAAUCUACAAUUUAAAGAUGAGGAGCCAGAGAAGUAAGAUAACAUGUUAUAUGCCCAGUAAACAGUGGAGGUGAGAAUUUGAACUUGAAUCUUAACUGAUUCUGGAGCUUGAGCAUCUGGGUACUAUAUUACACUGAACAAAUGAGAUUCCUGGGUCCUUUUGAGAUCUAGCUAUACACAUACGAGCGUAGAGGGAAAAAAACCUCAGUAUCUGGAGGAGGAUUGAGAAAGAUACCUAAGUUUUGCUUCCUAUCAGCACUGUCAAUGAGGUUCUAGAAAGGAAUCAUAACAAGUCCUAGAGAGGAAUGGCUGUGGGGUAUGUGAGACCCUUGGCACAAAAAAUCAAGCCUUAGUAAAGAUUAUUUUGUCCACAUUUGGCACAAAGUCAGCUAUUGGUCCCCAUACCUGAUAGUCACUCAGUCUAGGACAAUGGACAUCUCAGUGGUAUCUAUAGGGUUAGACAAAUGAAGACCAGUCUCUCACCUAAAAUACUGGUACAGUUGAAGACCCUAAAAAUGUGACAUAAACCCUAUAAGUAGGGAAACUUAAACAUGAAACUUUAAAUUUCCACUAGCCAUCCCUAUGGAAUGGAGACUAAGAAGCAGAGAUUAUGUUAUUAUAGAAAAUGAAGUCAUAUUUCUGGCACACUGAGUCCAAAGAUGCCUCCCGUAUUUCUACCUGUAGUGUCACAAUAGAUCCCAUUUAACUAUUACAGCAUGUGAUGUACUAAGUGCUUAAGAGCUAAGCACUUAGCACAGAACGUGGCACACAGAAAGUGUUUAAUUUUAGAUGUAUAGGUCAUACUAGCUAUUCAUUAUAUCUCAUAUAAUUCAAUUGGGUUGUUUCAGUGUAAUAUUAAAAUCAUAUGCAUUUUUAAAGACAAAACUUUAAACCAAUGAACCUUUAAAUCUGAUUUCACAUCUGGUCUGAAUACAUUACUUCCUAUUAUAAAUAUGUUUAUUAACCUUAACUCAGAGUUCCUGUCAUGGCUCAGUGGUUAACGAAUCUGACUAGGAACCAUGAGGUUGUGGGUUUGAUCCCUGGCCUUGCUCAGUCCACAGACCUCCAAAACCAGUCUUCUCACAUAUAUGUAUAGCCGACACACUACCAGAGAAGACAUAGCAAUAAUGAAACUUGUGGUUUGUUUAUCAUUAUUCAGCAAGAAAUAUUGUCAGCUAUAUUAGAGUUGACAAUAUCCAGCCCCUUCUUGUAUCUCACAGCAGCAUAGUUUCCAGGAGAUAAAAGGGGGGAGGGAUUAUUAAAGAAAAUGCAACUGCCUGGAAAAUACAAAAUAAACAGUAAGUGGGGGGGGGGGCUACUCUUUAUGUAGUGGUACAAAGACUGUAGCCUCAACAUAUAUAUAUAAUAAAAACUUCCUUGGAAGGGUGUGGAAUGUGGGACCUCCAAGACUCACUGAGAUUAGCUUCUUAUCAGAAGAGUGCCUAAAGGGUGCAUAAGAGUUAUGAGAGAGGAGAAAAAAGUUUUCCCAAGGUGGAGUUGAGGAGAGGCAUUACUGUGAAGAAAGGUGAGGAUACUAGUUGUACCGGUCAGGGUUCUCUAGAGAAAGAGGACAGAAGGUGUGUGUGUGUGUGCAUGCGUGCGCACAGUUGAAUCUUGAACAAUGUGGUGGUUCAGGGCACCAACCCUCCAUGUAGUCGAAAAUCCACAUUAUGACUUAUAGUUGGCCCUUUGUAUCUAUUGUUUUGUAUCUGCAGAUUCAGAUCGUGUAGUACUAUUGGAAAAAAUCCACAUAUAAGUGGACCCAAGCACAGUUCAAACCUGUUCAAACCUGUGUUGUUCAAGGAUCAUCUAUACACAUACAUACACACACACAAACAAACAUACAGAGAUUGACUGGUUAUAAAAAAUUGGCUUGACACAGAGGCUGACAAGUCUCAAGAUCUGUAGGCAGCGAGCUAGAGAUCCAAAAAAGCCAGUGGUGUAGUUUUAGUUUUAGUCUAAAGGCCUGAGAGCUAGGAGAGCUGAUGGUGCAUUUACAGAUUGAAAGGCCAAUAGGCUUGACCCCCUAGUUCUAGUUCUAGUUCAAAGGUCGGGUGGGACGAUGUCCCAGCUCUAAGGCAGUGAGGCAGGAGUUCCCUCUUACUUGCAGAAUGGUCAGCCUUUUUGUUCUACUCAGACCUUCAACAGAUUGGAUGAGGCCCACCCACAUUAGAGAGGACAGUCUGCCUUACUUAGUCUACCUAUUCAAAUAUGAAUCUCAUCCCCAAACACCUUUACCAACACACCCGGAAUGGUAUUUGACCAAAUAUCUGGACAUUGCAUGACCCAGUCAAGUUGACAUAUAAAAUUAACCAUCCCACUGGUUAUAUUGGUUAUAAAGUCAUUAAAGUGGUAAUUGCUAGAACUAAUACUCCCAACACAACACUCCUGAGGUAGUCAAGAAAUAGUUGUGUAGAAAAACUGAAACAGGGGUUUGGGUCUUCCAGGACAUCAAGGCCCUGACAUUAAAUAUUUCCUCAUUAAGAACUGCUAUAACAGAGUUCCUGAUAAUAACCACCUAAGCAGUAGACCCAGUAGCAUCGCAUGGGUAAAUACUUUGUUAAUAUUAAGUCUUGCUUUCACGU
rnacentral:lncRNA from 1 species